rnacentral:rRNA from 1 species
UCUUAGUUCGUGGAGUGAUCUGUCUGCUUAAUUGCGUUUCAAAUAUAUUUUAUUAUAUAACGAGUCUACAAAGGAGUGGUUCAUUAACAGACAAUCAUAUCUUUGAGCGUCUGGAAUCUACUCUAUUUGGCUCAAUUGAACGCAACGGACGUGAUCGCGAGUCCUUGUUGAACUUCAGUAUAUAUUGACUAUCCCCGUAGGAAGGGAUUGGCAAUAAUUGAAUGUUCGCUUUCUAUUAGGUGUGUAUAUAUAGUCUCAAAAUUGCAUGUAUUUGUAAUGGCGAGUAAUAUGUACUAUCCUAUAGGAAAACUCGGGCGACCGCUGUAAUAUUUCUCUUUAAAACAGAGGAAGAUUGCGGCAAUAACAGGUCUGUGAUGCCCUCAGAUGUCCCGGGCCGCACACGUGCUACAUUGAUUAGCGCAGUGCGCAUACUUUCAAUAUGAUACAUUAGAUUGGAUUGUUCUGUUGAGCUCCAUCUAAUACUAUCCGGCUUGAGAAGGCUGGGUAAUCAAUUGUAAGUGCUGGUUCCUCCUCCCGUUGAGCAUUUUAAUAAUGGCCUCUCUACAUCCCUAGCAAUAUGCCUAGUGCGAUUGUAGUUGAGCCUUGCCAUUUAUGCAAGUGUCAAU